rnacentral:rRNA from 1 species
AGCGAACGCUGGCGGCAGGCCUAACACAUGCAAGUCGAACGGACUCUUCGGAGUUAGUGGCGGACGGGUGAGUAACACGUGGGAACGUGCCUUUAGGUUCGGAAUAGCUCCUGGAAACGGGUGGUAAUGCCGAAUGUGCCCUUCGGGGAAAGGAUUUAUCGCCUUUAGAGCGGCCCGCGUCUGAUUAGCUAGUUGGUGAG